ACCUUCUGUGGUGUAGUUGGUAGCACUUUGGUACAAUACUUAUGUGUCCUAGGUUCAAGUCCUUGUUGGGGUA